GGUUAAGCGACUAAGCGUACACGGUGGAUGCCCUGGCAGUCAGAGGCGAUGAAGGACGUGCUAAUCUGCGAAAAGCGCCGGCGAGGUGAUAUGAACCCUUGACCCGGCGAUGUCCGAAUGGGGAAACCCAGUGUGUUCCGACACACUAUCGUUAACUGAAUACAUAGGUUAACGAGGCGAACCGGGGGAACUGAAACAUCUAAGUACCCCGAGGAAAAGAAAUCAACCGAGAUUCCCCCAGUAGCGGCGAGCGAACGGGGAGCAGCCCGGAGUCUGAAUCAGCUUGUGUGUUAGUGGAACGGUCUGGAAAGUCCGACGGUACAGGGUGAUAGUCCCGUACACGAAAAUGCACAUGCUGUGAACUCGAAGAGUAGGGCGGGACACGUGGUAUCCUGUCUGAAUAUGGGGGGACCAUCCUCCAAGGCUAAAUACUCCUGACUGACCGAUAGUGAACCAGUACCGUGAGGGAAAGGCGAAAAGAACCCCGGCGAGGGGAGUGAAAAAGAACCUGAAACCGUGUACGUACAAGCAGUGGGAGCACCUUCGGGUGUGACUGCGUACCUUUUGUAUAAUGGGUCAGCGACUUAUAUUCUGUAGCAAGGUUAACCGUAUAGGGGAGCCGAAGGGAAACCGAGUCUUAACUGGGCGUUAAGUUGCAGGGUAUAGACCCGAAACCCGGUGAUCUAGCCAUGGGCAGGUUGAAGGUUGGGUAACACUAACUGGAGGACCGAACCGACUAAUGUUGAAAAAUUAGCGGAUGACCUGUGGCUGGGGGUGAAAGGCCAAUCAAACCGGGAGAUAGCUGGUUCUCCCCGAAAGCUAUUUAGGUAGCGCCUCGUGAACUCAUCUUCGGGGGUAGAGCACUGUUUCGGCUAGGGGGCCAUCCCGGCUUACCAACCCGAUGCAAACUACGAAUACCGAAGAAUGUUAUCACGGGAGACACACGGCGGGUGCUAACGUCCGUCGUGAAGAGGGAAACAACCCAGACCGCCAGCUAAGGUCCCAAAGUCAUGGUUAAGUGGGAAACGAUGUGGGAAGGCACAGACAGCCAGGAUGUUGGCUUAGAAGCAGCCAUCAUUUAAAGAAAGCGUAAUAGCUCACUGGUCGAGUCGGCCUGCGCGGAAGAUGUAACGGGGCUAAACCAUGCACCGAAGCUGCGGCAGCGACGCUUAUGCGUUGUUGGGUAGGGGAGCGUUCUGUAAGCCGUUGAAGGUGUGCUGUGAGGCAUGCUGGAGGUAUCAGAAGUGCGAAUGCUGACAUAAGUAACGAUAAAGCGGGUGAAAAGCCCGCUCGCCGGAAGACCAAGGGUUCCUGUCCAACGUUAAUCGGGGCAGGGUGAGUCGACCCCUAAGGCGAGGCCGAAAGGCGUAGUCGAUGGGAAACAGGUUAAUAUUCCUGUACUUGGUGUUACUGCGAAGGGGGGACGGAGAAGGCUAUGUCAGCCGGGCGACGGUUGUCCCGGUUUAAGCAUGUAGGCGGAGGUUCCAGGUAAAUCCGGUACCUUAUUAACGCUGAGGUGUGAUGACGAGGCACUACGGUGCUGAAGUGAUAAAUGCCCUGCUUCCAGGAAAAGCCUCUAAGCAUCAGGUAACACGAAAUCGUACCCCAAACCGACACAGGUGGUCAGGUAGAGAAUACCAAGGCGCUUGAGAGAACUCGGGUGAAGGAACUAGGCAAAAUGGUGCCGUAACUUCGGGAGAAGGCACGCUGAUAUGUAGGUGAAGCCCCUGCGGGCGGAGCUGAAAUCAGUCGAAGAUACCAGCUGGCUGCAACUGUUUAUUAAAAACACAGCACUGUGCAAACACGAAAGUGGACGUAUACGGUGUGACGCCUGCCCGGUGCCGGAAGGUUAAUUGAUGGGGUUAGCGGCAACGCGAAGCUCUUGAUCGAAGCCCCGGUAAACGGCGGCCGUAACUAUAACGGUCCUAAGGUAGCGAAAUUCCUUGUCGGGUAAGUUCCGACCUGCACGAAUGGCGUAAUGAUGGCCAGGCUGUCUCCACCCGAGACUCAGUGAAAUUGAACUCGCUGUGAAGAUGCAGUGUACCCGCGGCAAGACGGAAAGACCCCGUGAACCUUUACUAUAGCUUGACACUGAACACUGGUCCUUGAUGUGUAGGAUAGGUGGGAGGCUUUGAAGCGUGGACGCCAGUCUGCGUGGAGCCGCCCUUGAAAUACCACCCUUUAAUGGCUGGUGUUCUAACGUAGACCCGUGAUCCGGGUUGCGGACAGUGUCUGGUGGGUAGUUUGACUGGGGCGGUCUCCUCCCAAAGAGUAACGGAGGAGCACGAAGGUUGGCUAAUCCUGGUCGGACAUCAGGAGGUUAGUGCAAUGGCAUAAGCCAGCUUGACUGCGAGCGUGACGGCGCGAGCAGGUGCGAAAGCAGGUCAUAGUGAUCCGGUGGUUCUGAAUGGAAGGGCCAUCGCUCAACGGAUAAAAGGUACUCCGGGGAUAACAGGCUGAUACCGCCCAAGAGUUCAUAUCGACGGCGGUGUUUGGCACCUCGAUGUCGGCUCAUCACAUCCUGGGGCUGAAGUAGGUCCCAAGGGUAUGGCUGUUCGCCAUUUAAAGUGGUACGCGAGCUGGGUUUAGAACGUCGUGAGACAGUUCGGUCCCUAUCUGCCGUGGGCGCUGGAGAAUUGAGGGGGGCUGCUCCUAGUACGAGAGGACCGGAGUGGACGCAUCACUGGUGUUCGGGUUGUCAUGCCAAUGGCACUGCCCGGUAGCUAAAUGCGGAAGAGAUAAGUGCUGAAAGCAUCUAAGCACGAAACUUGCCCCGAGAUGAGUUCUCCCUGAGACCUUGAGUCUCCUGAAGGAACGUUGAAGACGACGACGUUGAUAGGUCGGGUGUGUAAGCGCAGCGAUGCGUUGAGCUAACCGAUACUAAUGAACCGUGAGGCUUAACCUU
rnacentral:rRNA from 1 species